UUGAAGGCCUGGCUCACGAAAGCACCUUAUCCAUUUCGUCUCCCGCGCCGCGCGUCUCCCUUCCCGGCUGUCGACGGCGCCUUGCAGGCUUGCACCGACCCGCGGUCAUGGCGCCGUCCGUGUCCAAGAUGCUCUCGACGCCUCCGUACCACGCAUAUUACACCUGGCGUCGCCGCCUCCUUCCCCAAGAAACAGCCGCGUCGCCCAAUCCGAGCCCGGCGAGCCGUCGAAUCGCGCCGCCGCUCAGCCGGAGUCCAGCGAGGCGCUUCGUCCCGAUCUGCGCCUCGGCAUCAGACCGCGCAGGCGCGACGACGGCGGCCCUGGUCGAAGCCGAGGAGGAAGCAGAGCUCGACGGCCCGCCGAUGGUCCAGCUGUCUUCAGACAUCCUCCGUACGGAGCUUAGUUUGCUCAAGGCCGACGCGCCCCCGGCCGGUGGCGACUCGUCUCUCGGCAUCACCGCCCUUGAGGACCAAGACAGCGAGGAUGGCCGCCACUCGGGAGGAAGAGAAACCGCUGCUUACCCAGCUGCCAUGAACGCGUUGUACGCGGCCUGCCUCGCUGGGAUUCUGGGAACGUGACCGAGCAGCUGUGGAACUUCACCUGGCCCGCCGCCAUCGCCACGCUGCACCCCAGCCUCCUCCCCGUCGCCGUCCUCGGCUUCUUCUCAAAGCUCGUGGUGUUCGCGGUGGGCCCGCUGGUGGGGGAUCUUGUGAGCUCGCUCCCCCGGAUCCCAGCGUACCGAUCACUAACGGUGAUCCAGACGGCGGCGCACCUGGUGUCCGCGGCGAUGGUCACGUACGCCUUCACCGUCCCCCGGGCUCCAGCUGCAUCGGCGCUGCUCCUGCGGCCGUGGUUCGCCACGCUGGUGGCGUCCACAGCCGUCGACCGCCUCUCCUGCGUCUCCCUCGGCGUCAUCGCAGAGCGCGACUUCGUCGUCCAGGGGAAGGCAGGCCGAUCGCGCUGGCGCGGGCGAACGCGGCGCUCAGCAGGGUCGAUCUCCUCUGCGAGACGGCGGGAGCGUCCAUCUUCGCCGUGCUGCUCUCCAGGAACCACCCGCUGACCUGCGUCAGGCUCUCCUGCGCCGUCUCGCUCUGCUCCCUGCCCCUUCUGUUUUUUCUAGGCGGCGCGAUGAAUCGUCUCGCUGACGGCAUCUUGGACCGCUCUGCUAGUGCCGGUCCGGCCCCGCUGGAGCGCCCAGGACGACAUGGGAGCGCGGCGGUUGGCAAAGCCUGGGAGACCAUCAGGCACGGCUGGACAGAGUACCUCCGGCAGCCUGUGCUACCGGCGAGCCUCGCCUACGUGCUCGUCUGCUUCAACGUCGCGCUCGCGCCCGGCGCUCUCAUGACCACCUUCCUCAUCCACCUCGGCGUGAGCGCGUCGGUGCUCGGUGCGUUCGGCGGGUCGUCGGCGGUGGUGGGGAUUCUGGCCACGUUCGUGACUCCAUAUCUUGUCAAGGAGCUGGGCAUUCUCAAGGCCGGAGCGGCAGGGCUGGUCGCGCAGAGCGCGCUCCUCGGCGCGGCAGUCGUGGUCUUCGUCACUGGCCCCGUCUCACGGCGCGGCGCUCUCUUCGCCUUUCUUGGCUUCAUCGUGGCUUCGCGGCUGGGGCACAUGGCGUACAGCGUCAUCGGACUGCAGGUGGUGCAGACGGGAAACCCCAUGGGGAAGGCCAAGCUGAUCGGCGCCACGGAGAUCGCGGUGGCCAGCCUCGCCGAGCUCGCCAUGAUGGCCGUCGCCGUCGUCGCUGGGGACGCCGCGCACUUCGGCUGCCUGGCCGCGCUCUCGGCCGCAUCGGUCGCCGCCGCCGCUUGCCUGUUCUGCGCGUGGCUGGCCAACCCCACCGACGACCUCAGGAGGCUCUUCCCAUGUUGAUACAGGAAUAGGACUAGGAGACGCAAAUUUUUGGAGAAUAGCCAAUUCGUGUACCUAGCUCCAAAUGUUUUGCAGGUAUAAGCUCCAAUUUUUUUUCCGUGUUCUGCAUCCACUUUGAUUUUUGAAAUCAAUAUUAGAGGAAGGACAUAAACUUGCAAUAAACUUUAUCCAAAAAUAAUUAAGUGGCAGACAUUAAUAUCG